AUUGAACGCUGGCGGCAGGCCUAACACAUGCAAGUCGAGCGAGCGUCGGACGGGGGAGUAAUGUAUGGGGAACUGCCCGAUAGAGGGGGAUAACUACUGGAAACGGUAUCUAAUACCGCAUACUAUCGGAGGAACCCAUAUGGGAUUAGCUAGUAGGUGGGGUAAUGGCUCACCUCGGCGACGCUCCCUAGCUGGUCUGAGAGGAUGAUCAGCCACACUGGAACGGAGACACGGUCCAGACUCCUACGGGAGGCAGCAGUGGGGAAUAUUGCACAAUGGGCGCAAGCCGGAUGCAGCCAUGCCGCGUGUAUGAAGAAGGCCUUCGGGUUGUAAAGUACUUUUGGCAGGGAAGCGGUACUUGCAGAAUAAGCACCGGCUAACUACGUGCCAGCAGCCGCGGUAAUAC
rnacentral:rRNA from 1 species